GCAGAUCCUGGGAGAACACCACAGAGUGAAUUCGCUCUUCUCUGGAUUUCCUGCAAGUUAAUUGUGAUGCCGUAAAGAUGUUUCCACAUAUUGCUAAAUUAAAACCAAAUUAAUAUUCCUGGGAAGAAUCACUCCUCUACCUCUGUCUCUGGCGCUGUGUGAAACCUUGGGGGAUUAUGGAGCUGCAGCGAGUCGUUGUCACUUGUUAUUUGGUGGCAGAAGGAAAUGGGACAUCUCGCAGUAAUAGAUUUAAAUCUUUUAAUGCUGCUUUGGCACAGUCCAGAAGGCUCAGCGAGGGCAAGGCUUUUAUUAAUAGAACCUCUUGAAAUGCUCCUUUUCACCCACGGAGUAGCUGGCAGAGUUAAAGAUCCUCAUUUAAAACCCUCGGCGUGGUUACUGUCUGGGCACACUAAUGCUGUAAAAGUCAUCUCAAAUCACAUGUUAAGGACAUGAUUCAUCCAGAUCUGCCCAAAUUAAGGCAGGAGUGGCAAGUGCAGCUGCCAGCACUGUCACCAGAUCUCAGCUCCGUCAGUCCCACGUUACUCCCUAAAACAUCUGUGUUUGGGAGGAUUUCUUGUUAGCAAAUCCUUAACAGAGAAAAAGGGAAAAUGUUGGGUUUUGCUUGGUUUGGGACAGCUUUUACCCCAGUACAGUGACUGCAUGGGGAGUUCUCAUGUUUUAAUUUAAUUUUAUUAACAAGAAUAUGUGUAUAACUUGGUACUUCAAGGGUGACUCUGAAUCGACAGAGUUUAGAUGACAGAACUUUUUAAAAACCAAACUGUACUGAUAUGUUUAAGGUGUCUUAAAGCAAUCUCUUGCAUGAGAAGCAUGAGGAAUGUGCCAUUGCAAGCUCCAAUGUUGUAUUCACAAGUCUCUUCAAUUUUUUCAGUUGCUUUGACUAAAAUGGCAAGCUAUCAUUGCAAAAAAAAAGGCAUUUUUUAUUAAGUCGUGUGUAGAAGUUCAGAGCAUAUCUAAAGCUUGUCAAGGAGCAUAAACAUUUCUGAAAAAAAGGUGACCUGAUUUUGAAUUAAAAUAUGGUGUCAAUGCAAAUCCAGAAGUUGGGCUGUGUGAAGUAUCUGCUCUUACUCCUGAAGCUGCCAGGACUGUGCCAUUCACGUGCCAAUUACACACCAUUUUUUUUUAACCCAAUUCUUGUAUAUUAUUUGCUCCAAAAAUAGAUCAUUCCUGCAGAAAUUAGCAGAUUGCAUCCAACCCUUUCUAGGGGUAAAUUUGAUUUGUUUUCCAUAUUUAUUUUCAGCCACUUUCGUCUGUUCCUCUUUUUGGCAAAGGCCUGCCUUAUUCUUGGCCCUGUGUGCUCUUAUGUAAAGCUUUCCUGAAGCCUUGGUCAGGUUUGUACUGCUGGGGUUUCUUUAAUGUAAUCUGGUUAAAAGCUUUCAGUUCUUGCAACCUAUGAUUGUUAUUUUAAAUAUAUACCCCACUCAAAGCCUAGAGAAGAUAAUAAUGGCAUCUAGGAGCUUGCUGGAAGUGGAUUUUUAAAUAAUAAAUCUUUUCUCAAAUGUAA